rnacentral:lncRNA from 1 species
CAUCCCUCACUGCCCGCUGACAUUUCCCUGUUCUCCCAGCUCCAGGCAGGGAAUUCUCUCUGAAAUAAAAAUCCCUGCAGUGCCCAGCUCUGGGCGAUGUUUGGGAUCCGAUUUGGGAUCUGGGGAGGUUUUAUCCAUCCCUUAUCCAUCCCCACCAGUUCUGGGGGAUGUUUGGGAUCUGGUUUGGGAUCUGCUGGGGUUUAUCCAUCCCUCACCCAUCCCCACCAGCUCUGGAGGAUGUUUGGGAUCUGGUUUAAGAUCUGGUGAGGUUUUACCCAUCCCCACCAGCUCUGGGGACUCUUUGGGAUCAGGUUUAGGAUCUGCUGGGGUUUAUCCAUCCCCACCAGCUCUGGGGACUCUUUGGGAUCUGGUUUAGGGUCUGGUGAGGUUUUACCCAUCCCCACCAGUUCUGGGUGAUGUUUGGGAUCACGUUUGGGAUCUGCUGGGGUUUCUCCACCCUCACCAGCUCUGGGAGAUGUUUAGGAUCAGGUUUAGGGUCUGGUGAGGUUUAUCCAUCCCCACCAGCUCUGGGCAAUGUUUGGGAUCUGGUUUGGGAUCUCCUGGGGUUUAUCCAUCCCUUAUCCAUCCCCACCACCUCUGGGGACUCUUUGGGAUCAGGUUUAGGGUCUGGUGAGGUUUCUCCAUCCCCACCAGUUCUGGGCAAUGUUUGGGAUCUGGUGAGGUUUAUCCAUCCCCAAUCUGGUUUAGGAUCUGCUGGGGUUUCUCCAUCCUCACCAGCUCUGGGAGAUGUUUAGGAUCAGGUUUAGGAUCUGCUGGGGUUUAUCCAUCCUCACCCACUCUGGGCAAUGUUUGGGAUCUGGUUUGGGAUCUGGUGAGGUUUUACCCAUCCCCACCAGCUCUGGGGGAUGUUUGGGAUCUGGUUUAGGAUCUGGUUUAGGGUCUGGGGAGGUUUAUCCAUCCCCACCAGCUCUGGGGAAGGUUUGGGAUCAGGUUUGGGAUCUGGUGAGGUUUAUCCAUCCCCACCAGCUCUGGGGACUCUUUGGGAUCUGGUGAGGUUUAUCCAUCCCCAAUCUGGUUUAGGGUCUGGUGAGGUUUUACCCAUCCCCACCAGCUCUGGGCAAUGUUUGGGAUCUGGUUUAGGAUCAGGUUUAGGAUCAGGUUUGGGAUCUGGUUUAGGAUCAGGUUUGGGAUCUGCUGGGGUUUCUCCGUCCCCGCCAGCUCUGGGUCCUUCCCCGGUGCCCAGGGGUGAAGGUGCCAACGCUCAGAGCCCGGCAGGAAAAUUC